UUGAUUGAAAACAAGCAGCUAAGAUGAGCUAAGAUGAGCUCAGGGAGGACAGUAACUUCCUGUGGGGAAGAAGGGCAAACGCACUCUUAAUCUCAAUUUUCAGCAUGAAUACAGACUGUGAAAGCAGGGCCUUUCCAUCCUCCUGACCUUUUGGUUUGAAGCAGGAU
rnacentral:ncRNA from 1 species